rnacentral:rRNA from 1 species
GAUUGAACGCUGGCGGCAGGCCUAACACAUGCAAGUCGAGCGGAUGAAGGGAGCUUGCUCCUGGCUUCAGCGGCGGACGGGUGAGUAAUGCCUAGGAAUCUGCCUGGUAGUGGGGGAUAACGUCCGGAAACGGGCGCUAAUACCGCAUACGUCCUGAGGGAGAAAGUGGGGGAUCUUCGGUCCUCACGCUAUCAGAUGAGCCUAGGUCGGAUUAGCUAGUUGGUGGGGUAAAGGCCUACCAAGGCGACGAUCCGUAACUGGUCUGAGAGGAUGAUCAGUCACACUGGAACUGAGACACGGUCCAGACUCCUACGGGAGGCAGCAGUGGGGAAUAUUGGACAAUGGGCGAAAGCCUGAUCCAGCCAUGCCGCGUGUGUGAAGAAGGUCUUCGGAUUGUAAAGCACUUUAAGUUGGGAGGAAGGGCAGUAAGUUAAUACCUUGCUGUUUUGACGUUACCAACAGAAUAAGCACCGGCUAACUUCGUG